CCCGACUGCUAUUUGGGUGAGGUUAAACCAUGCGAGUUGUAUGGGAUACCUAAAUUUCCCAUAGCAAACUGCUUAGUAACACAUGAUCAACUUGCCCUAUGGAGAAAUAUAACCUCGGGAAACUGAGGAUAAUGAUUCAUAGUUGAAUAGGCUUGGAAAAGUUUUUCAAUGAAAGGGAUAAGAAAAAUGGUUCUUAUCUGCCAUAGGAUAGGAUCGUGCUCGAUUAUGGUUGUUGGUGAGGUAACGGCUCACCAAGCCGAUAAUCGAUAGGGGCCGUGAGAGCGGGAGCCCCAAGAUGGGUACUGAGACAGCGACCCAGGCCUUACGAGGCGCAGCAGGUACGAAACCUCCGCAAUACACGAAAGUGUGACGGGGUUACCCAAAGUGUUCUUAUUGAACUGUGGCAGGUGAGUAAUGUCCCCUGCUAGAAAGGAGAGGGCAAGGCUGGUGCCAGCCGCCGCGGUAAAACCAGCUCUUCAAGUGGUCGGGAUAAUUAUUGGGCUUAAAGUGUCCGUAGCCGGUUUAGUAAGUUCCUGGUAAAAUCAGGUAGCUUAACUAUCUGUAUGCUAGGAAUACUGCUAUACUAGAGGGCGGGAGAGGUCUGAGGUACUACAGGGGUAGGGGUGAAAUCUUAUAAUCCUUGUAGGACCACCAGUGGCGAAGGCGCCAGACUGGAGCGCGCCUGACGGUGAGGGACGAAAGCCAGGGGAGCGAACCGGAUUAGAUACCCGGGUAGUCCUGGCCGUAAACGAUGCAUACUAGGUGAUGGUACGGCCAUGAGCCGUGCCAGUGCCGUAGGGAAACCGUUAAGUGUGCCGCCUGGGAAGUACGGUCGCAAGGCUAAAACUUAAAGGAAUUGGCGGGGGAGCACCACAAGGGGUGAAGCCUGCGGUUC
rnacentral:rRNA from 1 species